CAGUCGCCGCGGUAAUACGUAGGUGGCAAGCGUUGUCCGGAAUUAUUGGGCGUAAAGGGCUCGCAGGCGGUUUCUUAAGUCUGAUGUGAAAGCCCCCGGCUCAACCGGGGAGGGUCAUUGGAAACUGGGAAACUUGAGUGCAGAAGAGGAGAGUGGAAUUCCACGUGUAGCGGUGAAACGCGUAGAGAUGUGGAGGAACACCAGUGGCGAAGGCGACUCUCUGGUCUGUAACUGACGCUGAGGAGCGAAAGCGUGGGGAGCGAACAGGAUUAGAUACCCCUGUAGUCCCUGUCUCUUAUAA
rnacentral:rRNA from 1 species